CGCGGCCUAUCAGCUUGUUGGUGAGGUAACGGCCCACCAAGGCGACGACGGGUAGCCGGCCUGAGAGGGCGACCGGCCACACUGGGACUGAGACACGGCCCAGACUCCUACGGGAGGCAGCAGUGGGGAAUAUUGCACAAUGGGCGAAAGCCUGAUGCAGCGACGCCGCGUGAGGGACGACGGCCUUCGGGUUGUAAACCUCUUUCAGCAGGGAAGAAGCGCAAGUGACGGUACCUGCAGAAGAAGCACCGGCCAACUACGUGCCAGCAGCCGCGGUAAUACGUAGGGUGCGAGCGUUGUCCGGAAUUAUUGGGCGUAAAGAGCUUGUAGGCGGUUUGUCGCGUCUGCAGUGAAAAUCCGGGGCUCAACUCCGGACUUGCUGUGGGUACGGGCAGACUAGAGUGUGGUAGGGGAGACUGGAAUUCCUGGUGUAGCGGUGGAAUGCGCAGAUAUCAGGAGGAACACCGAUGGCGAAGGCAGGUCUCUGGGCCAUAACUGACGCUGAGAAGCGAAAGCACGGGGAGCGAACAGGAUUAGAUACCCUGGUAGUCCAUGCCGUAAACGUUGGGCGCUAGGUGUGGGGCUCAUUCCACGAGUUCCGUGCCGCAGCUAACGCAUUGAGCGCCCCGCCUGGGGAGUACGGA
rnacentral:rRNA from 1 species